GGCACACCAUUGUGCCGACAAAAUCAGGGCUUGUUCGUGAGGAAGGCGAGUAGAGGGGACGGCGGGCAGGCGGGCAGCAGUUCAGCCCCUGGGACCGAGCUCUGCACUGGCUCUCCGUCUGAGUGCCCAGAGGACGUGUCUGUUGGGCCACUGAGCCACUGGGUCGGGAGGCCUGCGACGCACAUGCUGGCCUUUUCCAGAGCACCUUACACAGGCAUCACUGGUCCAAGAAACGCUGACUGAAGACCCGCUUGCUGCCAGGCCCCGUGCCGGGCGCCACAGCAGCGACCAGCCAUUGGCAACCACACCUGCCCUCGUGGGGUUCGCCUGGUAGUGACCGCGCGUCCAAGGUCAGUUAGGAAAUGGAGGGGCUGGGCUGACAGCUGGGCCUCCUACUCGGCAUGUCCUCCGGGGACCCCGCCCGCCCUCAGCCAGCCCACUGCCCUUCCCGUGAGUCCUGGAGCAGCUGCGGUUGCGGGUGCAGCCCCGUGAGCUUGCCCUGGGCCCCGGGGGCUCACAGGGGUGACUGGGGAGCGGGGCAGGAGUUGGGAAGUCAGCCGGGUGUGGCCGCGUGCCGAGGAGUCUUGCCAGAGCCCAGGUGGAAGGGACGGGGUGACAGCGUCUGUGUGCCUGCCCCUGGCUCUGCCCCGUGGCUGGCAGCUGCUCUCUGGGGCCUUUUCUCUCCCUUUCUUACUCCUGGUUUCCUGAAGGGGGCAGGAGCCCUUCCAGACGGGGUGCAGGAGGGCAGGCGGCUGCAGCAUCAUCGCGCAGGUGCGGGGCCAAGGGCAGCCCUGGGCACUUGGCUCCGGACAGGUCUCGUUGCUCAGGGGCUUUGUCUGGACCCUGGAACCAAAACCCACAAGCAGCCGCUUCAUUACCCAGCCUGACUGAGUGAAAAUGUUAUCUUCUUGUGUUUUGAAGGAGCCAAGUGAUUACACACGAGACGCUGUGAGUCACUUUGAACAGGAAGCUGAUGUGGGCUACGUGCUGGUCUUGGCCUUUCCCUCCAGGUGGUGACUCGGGCAUUCAGGCCCCUUCCAUUUGUGAUGCU